AAAUUAUUCACGGUCGCGUUACUAGUAUUUCAUAUCUAUAUUUUUAUUUUUAAUUUUUCUUUUUAAUUGCUCGAUAUAUCCGGCAUUAGAGUCAGUUCACCACUGAAGAGGAGUCUUGGGCGUUGCUCCACAAGGAAAGAGUAUGAAUUUUUUGAUUUUGCCGAGUUCCUGGAUACCCUGAUGAUGGCUUUCUUCACGACUUCCGUCUUGAUGAAUCUUCUCCUACAAGGCAGCCUCCUGGUGUUGUCCAUCCUUCUACUUGACUGUCGGAAGAAGAGUAUAUCUGCGAACGGUGAGUCGCAUGUUUUAUGGUUCCUCUGGUGCCCAAUCAUGUCGUAGGACGAAUGGUCCGAAUCGACACGGGUUACUAGUUGUAUACGUGGUA